rnacentral:rRNA from 1 species
ACCGGCGGCUCGAGUGGUAACCGUUUUUAUUGGGCCUAAAGCGUUCGUAGCCGGUUUGAUAAGUCUCUGGUGAAAUCCCGCAGCUCAACUGUGGGAAUUGCUGGAGAUACUAUCAGACUUGAGGUCGGGAGAGGUUAGAGGUACUCCCAGGGUAGGGGUGAAAUCCUAUAAUCCUGGGAGGACCACCUGUGGCGAAGGCGUCUAACUGGAACGAACCUGACGGUGAGUAACGAAAGCCAGGGGCGCGAACCG